ensembl:lncRNA
UCUGAAAGCAAUACAGCUUAGAUGAUGUUAGCAUAAUAUUGCUUUGGACUUCCAGUUAGCAGUGGGAUGUAAAUAAUCUUAUUUAAUUGGGAAAACAAGGCAAAUAGUUUGAUUUGGCCCUUGGGAAUGCACAUGAUACAAAUUACAGGGACAUCCUUUGUUAAAAGCCUUCUAAGACUACUUUGACAUUUUAAAAGUUUUUAACAGUCUGAGGAGUGCUCUGCUCUACAUAACUACCAUUGUCAUCUUUAAUGAUUCUCUGAACUCUUCUCCCACAGCACUUGGCUUGAAACCAACCUUAUCUAUAAUUACGACUCUUUAAAAUUUAAGCAAGUAUGACUAAGCUAAUGGGACUGGAAACAAAUAAUGAAGAACUAAAAGACAGCUAUGACAAAGAUUUCUCCUGCAUUCAAUUUGCUCUGUGCCUGGUUAUUCCAUAGUAGAAUGUAACCUACAAAGCACUAGAAGAGAUCUUCUAACUGGGAUAAUGCAGUGCCAAAAGUCCUUCUGCAGAAAGAUCCUGAAAGGUUCCUACUGGCCUGUAACUGAGUUAUGUGAAGUAGCAGUUGUGAAGAUACAACAUGCUCCUCUGCACUUGAGUCCCUUCACACAGGUACUAAAGGAAUUUACCAUCAACUGGUUUCAGUAGCACACAGCUGCAAAAUAGCAGGAGGAGGCAACCAAGAAUGUGCAGGAGCAGCGCAACUUUUGUACACUGUGAGUGCCUUCUGUUAGCAAGUAUGUCUGUGUAAUGCAUAACUCUCAGUAUGUACUUAGUCACCUAAAAUUAAGUUACCUCACCAAGAAGAGCAGCUUAAUUAGCAAUUGUACCACCCAGCUGGGCUUGUGCUGUUGACCUCCGGCAAGGAGACAGCAGACUUCUCUGCAGGCAUAGCUUCAUUGGCCUUCUCAACAGUUCUGCACUGCAGAGCAGAUCCUUGCUACAGACAUUAGCUAAAUACAUUCAAAUAUUUGCUGUCUGCUGUGGAUACUUAACAUGCUUAUCUGAAAGGUAAGAGAUGCUAACGCACAAGCCAGUAAGACAUGUCAGUCAUUCUGUAGAUCGUUUCAGUCCUGAGCCCCCCCCACCUGGUUACUGCUCUGAAACAUAAAAAGGCUAUAAUGAUUAAAACAGAAGGCUAAUAAUGCAGCUUCCUUAUUCAUUUUCAGUUAGCGACCAAAACAC